rfam:Curvibacter sp. GWA2_63_95 gwa2_scaffold_2599, whole genome shotgun sequence.
CCGCGUUCUCAGGGCGGGGUGCAAUUCCCCACCGGCGGUAUCUGUGGCUUGACCUCAGCAGCCCGCGAGCGCCCACGCCAGCCUCUGCCAGCGUGGGGUCAGCAGAUCUGGUGAGAUGCCAGAGCCGACGGUCAUAGUCCGGAUGAAAGAGAUCGCGC